GUCAAAAGAGUCUUAUUGGUUACCGUUUCCAGUCUGGUGGUCUGCGCUGUCGGCUGGGUUCUCUCUGGGUGUAACUCUGAUGGCUGUACCAGUUCCUUCACUUUCAGUCAAAACUGGUAUUUCCACGCUGACCUUGCAGAUGACAGAAACGUCGGCACUCUGACUCACAACAAGAGCGUGGGACAAAACACCUGCGGAGGGACACAGUCACAAACAUCGGAAAAGAUAUUCGCAAAAUAUGUGGAGAGGAGGCAGAACAGUUCUGUUUUCUGUAGUAUUUAUUAGUUUUUCUGGAAAAGUGAAAGUUCUGAUGAGGCUCAUUCAUCAGAUUAUAAGUACCUUUUCAAAAUAACAACCUUCAAGCAGGAUGGAUCUAAACCAACACACAGGAGCAGAAAACCCUUGAGGAGGUUCAUCCUGUCACCAGACGGUCUGCAGCCUGAACAGAGUGAUGAUGAGGAGAGAUGAAGACUUUCAUCUGAAAGAGAAACGCAGGAAACCACAGGUGUUUCUUCAGAUGACCUUGUUGUCACUCAGAGUCCUGAUGUUUCCGUUCAAGAAGGAGAGACAGGAAACAUCACCUGCUGCUGGGAAUGGACAGCUGAUAGAGUUGGCAUUGAAUGGUUGAAAAACCAAACAUUAAUAAAGAAUAAGAGUGUCAUAAAUCAGUCUACAGGCUCUAAGAAUGAGCAGAAAAGUAAGUGUUCAGUUCUGAUAAUAGAAAACAUGAUAAGAAGUGAUUCAGGAAGAUACAUCUGCAAGGUUACUGUGGAGAUACCACUUUUAGCUGAAGCUAAAGGAAAAGGAACGACCAUCACUGUUACAUCCAGAGAGAACAUCACUGACA